rnacentral:rRNA from 1 species
AGAGCGAACGCUGGCGGCAGGCUUAACACAUGCAAGUCGAGCGCUCGUAGCAAUACGAGAGCGGCAGACGGGAGAGUAACACGUGGGAACGUACCCUUCGGUUCGGAACAACCCAGGGAAACUUGGGCUAAUACCGGAUACGUCCGUAAGGAGAAAGAUUUAUCGCCGAAGGAUCGGCCCGCGUCUGAUUAGCUAGUUGGUGAGGUAACGGCUCACCAAGGCGACGAUCAGUAGCUGGUCUGAGAGGAUGAUCAGCCUCACUGGGACUGAGACACGGCCCAGACUCCUACGGGAGGCAGCAGUGGGGAAUAUUGGACAAUGGGCGCAAGCCUGAUCCAGCCAUGCCGCGUGGAUGAUGAAGGCCCUAGGGUUGUAAAGUCCUUUCGACGGGGAAGAUAAUGACGGUACCCGUAGAAGAAGCCCGGCUAACUUCGUGCCAGCAGCCGC